CGGGACGGGUGAGUAACACGUGGGUAACCUACCUAUAAGACUGGGACAACUUCGGGAAACCGGAGCUAAUACCGGAUAAGAUAUCGAACCGCAUGGUUCGAUAGUGAAAGAUGGUUUUGCUAUCACUUAUAGAUGGACCCGCGCCGUAUUAGCUAGUUGGUGAGGUAACGGCUCACCAAGGCAACGAUACGUAGCCGACCUGAGAGGGUGAUCGGCCACACUGGAACUGAGACACGGUCCAGACUCCUACGGGAGGCAGCAGAU
rnacentral:rRNA from 1 species